rnacentral:rRNA from 1 species
AUUGAACGCUGGCGGCAGGCCUAACUCAUGCAAGUCGAGCGGAUGAAGGGAGCUUGCUCCUGGAUUCAGCGGCGGACGGGUGAGUAAUGCCUAGGAAUCUGCCUGGUAGUGGGGGAUAACGUCCGGAAACGGGCGCUAAUACCGCAUACGUCCUGAGGGAGAAAGUGGGGGAUCUUCGGACCUCACGCUAUCAGAUGAGCCUAGGUCGGAUUAGCUAGUUGGUGGGGUAAAGGCCUACCAAGGCGACGAUCCGUAACUGGUCUGAGAGGAUGAUCAGUCACACUGGCACUGAGACACGGUCCAGACUCCUACGGGAGGCAGCAGUGGGGACUCUUGGACCAUGGGCGACAGCCUGAUCCAGCCAUGCCGCGUGUGUGAAGAAGGUCUUCGGAUUGUAAAGCACUUUAAGUUGGGAGGAAGGGCAGUAAGUUAAUACCUUGCUGUUUUGACGUGACCAACAGAAUGAGCCACGGCUAACCUCGUG